rnacentral:sRNA from 1 species
CAGGGUACCUGUAUAGUUACCAUUAAUGUAUUGGUUAACUUCGAAAUUUGGUACGGCGUUUUCAAAGAUGUCUCCUUACUUCAAAAGUUUCAAAUGCAAAAUUUAUAAUUGCGCACAGCGCACGGAGGUUUCAUCUUAUGGAACAAGGUACAGUUAAAUGGUUUAAUGGCGACAAAGGUUACGGUUUUAUCACUCUUGAAAACGGAUCAGACGUAUUCGUUCACUUCUCAGCAAUCAACGCUGAUGGCUUCAAGACUCUUGAAGAAGGUCAAAAAGUUACCCUUGAUGUUGAAAAAGGCGACCGUGGCUUACAAGCAGCUAACGUUACACCUGCUUAAAGUUAAAUCAAAGUAAUAAAAGCCUCCUGUGAGGGGCUUUUUCUU